GCAGACUGAAGUAUACUGGCUGGCGGGGAGCAUCUUCUGCUAUAGUCUGAAGGUCUUCCAUUCCUCUAAGGAAGAGCAAUCCAUUCUACCUGGACAGGCAAAGUUCUGCUGAUCCUCCUGCUCACCAGACAGUAAAGGUGCAUGGAUAACAUUCUGGGGAUAAAUGGGCUCUUCGUGAUUGGGGUGUGUCAGCGUUUCCAGCCCUGCUCAUUAGCUCUGCCACACGUGCUCCCGAGAGCAAACCAGCCGCUGCUCCUCAUGCUGGGCUCCAGGACAGCAGUGACAGCAACUGGAAGAUGCACACAAAGAAAACAAUCCGACAUCUCCACAUCAUGCUUUUUAAUCUUGUCUUUGAGAUGAAAGUCUAGUGAGAAACUCACAAAGUAAGAGCUCUGUCUCUCAGGCAGCGUGCUGGGUCAUACUGAGAGCACAGCUGAGAGAAGGUGGAUUGCCCUGUCCCAGGGCCACACUCGCGGUGAGACCUGCUGCGCUGACGGAGUGAACGAUCGAUGGACUGAGACCCACCAGGACAUCUGAGGCAGCCUGGAAGCUGUCUGCAAAUGUCAGACUUGUCACUCGGCAAAUGCAGAUCACAGUUAUGGGUACAAAUGGAGUCUAGAGAUGUGAGAAGCAUUUGUACUGGACGCCUGCAGAAGGACACUCUAGAAAGCAUAGAUUUGUCCUGAGGGUCAGAGGUGGGCUGGUGGGGAGGUCGUGCAGAUAGAGGCUUGGGCACUUGUAAAAAAGGGGAUCUUGUGGGAGGAGCUAUG